rnacentral:rRNA from 1 species
GAUGAACGCUGGCGGCGUGCUUAACACAUGCAAGUCGAACGAUGAAGCCCAGCUUGCUGGGUGGAUUAGUGGCGAACGGGUGAGUAACACGUGAGUAACCUGCCCUUAACUCUGGGAUAAGCCUGGGAAACUGGGUCUAAUACCGGAUAGGAGCGUCCACCGCAUGGUGGGUGUUGGAAAGAUUUAUCGGUUUUGGAUGGACUCGCGGCCUAUCAGCUUGUUGGUGGGGUAAUGGCUCACCAAGGCGACGACGGGUAGCCGGCCUGAGAGGGUAACCGGCCACACUGGGACUGAGACACGGCCCAGACUCCUACGGGAGGCAGCAGUGGGGAAUAUUGCACAAUGGGCGCAAGCCUGAUGCAGCGACGCCGCGUGAGGGAUGACGGCCUUCGGGUUGUAAACCUCUUUCAGUAGGGAAGAAGCGAAAGUGACGGUACCUGCAGAAGAAGCACCGGCUAACUACGUG